rnacentral:rRNA from 1 species
GACGAACGCUGGCGGCGUGCUUAACACAUGCAAGUCGAACGGAAAGGCCCUGCUUUUGUGGGGUGCUCGAGUGGCGAACGGGUGAGUAACACGUGAGUAACCUGCCCUUGACUUUGGGAUAACUUCAGGAAACUGGGGCUAAUACCGGAUAGGAGCUCCUGCUGCAUGGUGGGGGUUGGAAAGUUUCGGCGGUGGGGGAUGGACUCGCGGCUUAUCAGCUUGUUGGUGGGGUAGUGGCUUACCAAGGCUUUGACGGGUAGCCGGCCUGAGAGGGUGACCGGCCACAUGGGGACUGAGAUACGGCCCAGACUCCUACGGGAGGCAGCAGUGGGGAAUAUUGCACAAUGGGCGGAAGCCUGAUGCAGCAACGCCGCGUGCGGGAUGACGGCCUUCGGGUUGUAAACCGCUUUCGCCUGUGACGAAGCGUGAGUGACGGUAAUGGGUAAAGAAGCACCGGCUAACUACGUG